UUAAAUUGAAGAGUUUGAUCAUGGCUCAGAUUGAACGCUGGCGGCAGGCCUAACACAUGCAAGUCGAACGGUAACAGGAAACAGCUUGCUGUUUCGCUGACGAGUGGCGGACGGGUGAGUAAUGUCUGGGAAACUGCCUGAUGGAGGGGGAUAACUACUGGAAACGGUAGCUAAUACCGCAUAACGUCGCAAGACCAAAGAGGGGGACCCUCGGGCCUCUUGCCAUCGGAUGUGCCCAGAUGGGAUUAGCUUGUUGGUGGGGUAACGGCUCACCAAGGCGACGAUCCCUAGCUGGUCUGAGAGGAUGACCAGCCACACUGGAACUGAGACACGGUCCAGACUCCUACGGGAGGCAGCAGUGGGGAAU
rnacentral:rRNA from 1 species